GAUGAACGCUAGCUACAGGCUUAACACAUGCAAGUCGCGGGGCAGCAUGGGGGUUGCUUGCAAUCCCCGAUGGCGACCGGCGCACGGGUGAGUAACGCGUAUCCAACCUGCCCUUCACCACGGGAUAACCCGGCGAAAGUCGGACUAAUACCGUAUGUUGCCCAUUGACGGCAUCCGAUUUGGACGAAAGGUUUGGCGGUGAAGGAUGGGGAUGCGUCCGAUUAGCUGGACGGCGGGGUGACGGCCCACCGUGGCGACGAUCGGUAGGGGUUCUGAGAGGAAGGUCCCCCACACUGGAACUGAGACACGGUCCAGACUCCUACGGGAGGCAGCAGUGAGGAAUAUUGGUCAAUGGGCGUAAGCCUGAACCAGCCAAGUAGCGUGCAGGAUGACGGCCCUAUGGGUUGUAAACUGCUUUUAUGCGGGGAUAAAGUGGCCCACGUGUGGGUUUUUGCAGGUACCGCAUGAAUAAGGACCGGCUAAUUCCGUG
rnacentral:rRNA from 1 species